rnacentral:rRNA from 1 species
UGGGGAAUCUUCCGCAAUGGGCGAAAGCCUGACGGAGCAACGCCGCGUGGGUGAUGAAGGUUUUAGGAUUGUAAAGCCCUGUUAUUCGGGAAGAAAGGUGUUUAUGAAAACAUUGUAGACAACUGACGGUACCGAAGGAGGAAGCCACGGCUAACUACGUGCCAGCAGCCGCGGUAAUACGUAGGUGGCGAGCGUUAUCCGGAAUUAUUGGGCGUAAAGGGCGUGUAGGCGGGACAGUAAGUCUGUUGUAAAAAUGCGGAGCUCAACUCCGUAGUGCGAUGGAAACUAUUGUUCUUGAGUAUCGGAGAGGAAAGCGGAAUUCCCAGUGUAGCGGUGAAAUGCGUAGAUAUUGGGAAGAACACCAGUGGCGAAGGCGGCUUUCUGGACGAUUACUGACGCU